AUGCUAAUUUAUUCCGCACCCAGCCCCCACAGAGGCUGUCACUGUGUCCGAGUGUGUCCGUGUGUGAAUGUCGGUCGCUGCCUUUGUGGCGGUUACUGCAGGAGACCAUCGGUCUGCGUUGUCUGUCUCCGGGGAAUUCUGUCCGUCUAUCACUGUGGGUGUCUGCCCUGCCGCUGCGGUUCUUUCGUUUGUGUCUGUCACCGCGUGUCUGUCCGUCUGUCGACGUCUGUCACUGGCAUCCGUCUGGGCUCCCGGGUCGCUAGAUCUCGGCUCCUAGGAAGAGACAGAGUGGAGGUGGCAGCCCAGGGCGGCGGGGAGGGGCGGGGGCGGAGACAGUGGGAGGGGGCGGGGGCGCCGUGUGGCCCGGAGUGGGUGUGUGCGGGGGGCCGAAGGCGGCGGCUGUCAGACUCGGCUCAGCCUGCGCCAGGGAACCUCGGCCGCCUCCAGCCCCCGGCGAGGCACGGCGCGGCCCGGCCCGGCCUGGCUGCCUCAGACUUGCGGUCGCCCGCACGGGAACCGGCACCCCGCAGGGCUGGCCGCCGCCUGUUCUCGAUUGCCUGCGGGGACCCCAGAGCCCCCCUUCCCCAGCUCGUCCCCAAGUCUGGGGCCACUGGAAGAUGCCCCCUGCUUGGGGCAGAACCCGGGCUGCGCAGGUUCCUGGAGCCCAGCUGGGCCCACCUGAUCCCCGCGACCCCAGCGCCCCGGCGCAGCGCCCAGCCAUAGCCCCCUCCCAGGCCCAGGCGUCUCCUUCCCACAGGGACUCCGUCUCUAUUUGGGGGCAAGGGGAGGCUGAUCUCUAGCGAGAUCAGCGGAAGCCCUGAGUUAUAAUUAGUCCCACUCGGGUUUCCUAGUUAAUCUCAGCACCACCACCACCACCCCAGCUCGGGGCACCGGGGACUGGAUGAGGGGUGACCGCCGCGAGAGGGGGUAGUUCCGACCCGGGGAAUUUUGAUCCCUUGGCUGGAGAUGCCGGAACCGCAGCAGCUGCUGCCUCAAAAUAGCGCCCCCGCCCCUGCAGCCGGGGAUCUCUGGAGCUCCGGGAACACAAGCGUCCCGGCUCGCCCUUCAGACCCUUCCGCAA
rnacentral:lncRNA from 1 species